rnacentral:lncRNA from 1 species
AAGUACCGUAGGUUUCAACAUUGAAAUAAAGGGGGAGGGGAUUGAUUUAAAAAGUCUCAAUAUAUUUUGUGGACGAUUGUCUUAAAAAUUGAUAAGACUUAGUUAAAAGCAUCUCGAAGUUUUCAGUGAAAUCUCUUUGCGUGCAUGUGUAGUAGUCACUGUAGAUGAUACUAUUCGGGUUAUUGUUCACAUGUAGAAUAGUACAGUACUGUCAAGUCGCCCGGGGGGAGGGAAGAUAUAAAAGAAAUAGGGGAGUGAUCCAAAAAGUAUCAGUAUAUAUUUGGUAGACGAUUAUAAUAGAAAUUAAGAAAACUUAGAUGGCAGCAGCU